UGUCUGACGCCUCACUCUGCAACUGGGGGCACUGUGGCCCCGGCAAGCCUCAGUCUCCUCAUCUGUGAAGUGGGGACGCUAACACUCACCUUGCAGGUCAUCGUGAGAAGCAAAGGCACCGCCUGGGAGAGAGUGUUUGCAGCAACCCCAACAGACCGCGCUGUAACACCCACCACAUAAAAAGAACUUCUGGUUUCUUUUACUAUUGGUUUCUACCAACAGUAAGACAGACCACCCACUAGAAACGCUGGACAACGUUACGAACAGAUGUUCGCAGAAAGGAAGGGCAAACGGCCGAGAAACAGUAGCCGGUGAGGACGAAGGCCGUCUCCUGCGGGGGGAUGGCCAUCACAGGCGUGUACACCAGGCCCAGCUCCAUGAUGCCCGCGUCGAAGCGCCGCAGCGUGGCCGUGUAGUACAGGCGGAUGCCCGAGGAGUCGCGCCGGCCUGGGAGGAGGAGGGACGGAGGCGGACGCCAUGGUUACCACAAGGACCCAUUCACCUGUGCAAUUCCCGCGUGCAAAGCAAGAGCCAUUGUUUCUGUGAAAACGAGGUGAAUGCUUUGGAACGACUCGAGUAAGGCAACGAAA